AUACGUAGGUGACAAGCGUUAUCCGGAUUUAUUGGGCGCAAAGGGCGUGCAGGCGGUCUUGCAAGUCAGAAGUGAAAUUCCUGAGCUCAACUCGGGCGCUGCUUCUGAAACCGCAGGACUUGAGUGCUGGAGGGGAUAGCGGAAUUCCUAGUGGAGCGGUAAAAUGCGCAGAUAUUAGGAAGAACACCGGUGGCGAAGGCGGCUAUAUGGACAGUAACUGACGCUGAGGCGCAAAAGCGUGGGGAGCAAACAGGAGGAGAUACCCUGAUAAUCCACGCCGUAAACGAUGAAUACUAGGUGUAGGGGGUAUCGACUCCCUCUGUGCCGCAGUUAACACACUAAGUAUUCCGCCUGGGGAGUACGGCCGCAAGGUUGGAACUCAAAUGAAUUGACGGGC
rnacentral:rRNA from 1 species